ensembl:lncRNA
GGAGGCGAAUGGGUCCAGUGACUGCUCCUUUACUGUCGGGGAAGCCAAGGCUCAGAGCUUAUGUGACUUUCCCACGGUCACCUGUGGAGCCAGAGGCAGAGUUAUGAUUCAGGUGUGUGGUACUCAGCUUUGACCUGAAGUCUUGCUGGCUCCCCACCUCCUCUCUCCGUGGUGUUGAACAAACGGGUGAAAUUAAUGAUCUUGUGAAGAGAAAGAAGCCAGAGAAAGAGCAAAAAUGGACAAGUCAGCAUUUUUCUGUUAGGUUCCCAGUGAAUUAGGCUGAGUGGAUGGAUGGGCGGAUGAGACUUCGGAAAACGGUACAUCUACUGAGCCACACACCACGCGGUCCUCCUCACAAGUUCUGAACAGCUCUCCCUGCUCCUCUGUCCUUUCACCCAUCUACGUAAUAUCAUGCUAUAAAUGACAGCAACUCUUCCAGCCAAGGAGGAAAAAUAGGGGCAGCAUUAAGGGAGAAGCUGAGAAGUGAUGUGCUUUGUCCAGAAGAGUGGAAGAAUAGAUGGAAUGGAAUCUCCCCACCUCCUCUCAUUUGCUGACGCCCUGCUCUGGACUAAAUUACGAUUGCUUCCUGCCCGGUUUCCCGUGAGGUGAUCCAUCUGGCGUUUGUGGUUGGGCUCAGAGAGGUGAGGAGCCUGCAAGGGUCCGAGAAGCCAAGAGCUCCGCUGGUGCAGGAUCUUGUUCUCUGUGUUUCUGUCAGAGAAACACUGCAGUGGGCCCCUCUCAGGCCAGCCAGGGGAAAGGCCAAAGGGCUGCAGAUGGUCCAUAGAGGGCUGGGCCUUUGCUCACUGCUCAGGCUCAACCGCCACUUCCCAAGCUGAACCAGUAACUCUGGCCUGAAGGCUGCCCUGUGGUCACAGAGAAGUCCCGGGCCUGUGUCUCCUGACCCUGGGUUCCAGUUCUAGCUAUCGUUGAUGAUGCCUAGUAUUUAACACAGCAUCUGUAGGUAGUAGGCACUCAGUAAAGAACUGAUGGAGCGAGGAACGAACGAAGCAAUUAGCUGUGACCUUGAUUUCCACAUCUGCAGAGGGGGCAUGAUAAUGCUGUCACUGCCUCUCACUCCAAGUCAUCCCCUGAAGCUCGGGAAGCGGACGGGCGGAUGAUGUUCAUGCCCAGUAGGGUCUGGCUGCGCAUCCGUGAUUGAUGUGUGAGCCUCCCCACCUCAGGUCAUGUUACUGCUGGCUUGGUGGUUGGAAGCAGCUCUAUCCUCAGGCUCCUGGAAG